ACCUGGCUGAAUGUGCAUCCUACUUUACAGACGAGAGCUCUUUUAUGUGAAGGGCUAUCAGAAAGCAAUCCUUUAUUUGAAAGAUAAAGAACCAUAAAAAGGGAGAGCAGGGGCCAUGAAGUUGCCCAUCAACAGUGAGCACCCGAGUAGGUGAUUGAGCACGGGUCACUGUCUUCGUUUCCCCCUUAGGGUCUAUAGCCUUACCAUUUAAAAAAAUGAAUAUCUCUGAAUGGAUCAGAACUACAAAAGCCCUGCUUUGGCUACAACCUUAUCAACAUAUCUGGGAUUGCUGGAGGUGGCUCUACUACAACCAAAGACCCAAAUCCAGAUGAGGAGGAUGGAGUGCCUGACACAAGCAAAUGCUCCACAAUGUUCUGAUGUUGUAUUGCCUUAUGAAGCAUUUGAGCCUUGCUGUAUUGGUACAGGAAUCCUCCUGUGAGCUGACCCAUAGAGGUUUGUGUGUGGCACCUCAGUAAGACUGAAUAACAUGAGAGUUCAAAUUUCGUAAUUCCUGUAUUCAAUUAAGUCCUACUGAGAGUAGGCUGAUUGAAAGUAGUCAGUCAUGUCUAUUAAUAUCAAUAGGUCUACUCUGAAUAGGACUAGUACUGAAUACUAUCCUUUUCCUGGAUUUGGAACUGCAAACUGAAGGACAAAUUUCUAAC